rnacentral:rRNA from 1 species
ACGUAGGGGGCUAGCGUUAUCCGGAAUUACUGGGCGUAAAGGGUGCGUAGGUGGUUUCUUAAGUCAGAGGUGAAAGGCUACGGCUCAACCGUAGUAAGCCUUUGAAACUGGGAAACUUGAGUGCAGGAGAGGAGAGUGGAAUUCCUAGUGGGGCGGCCAACAGCAUAGAUAGGGGGAGUGACGCCCGUCGCGAGAGGGAACCACGGGGCUGUAACUAACACUGAGGCUGGAAGCUGUUGGGAGGAAAAAG